AACAGCAACCAUAGCGAAUACACAUCACCGAACACCAGCAACAUAAUGCCAUGGUAACCACCCAGCAGCAGAACACGGUGAUAAUGGGCCAACAGUAAAUACAACAUCAAGAUCCUCGGAAAGGACUUUCUCUUUCGAACAAACAUAAUGGAAGCAUACUCUACACGCGCGACAUAUUCAAUCGGGCCAACCGUGUGACUCGUUUGGAAAAAAGCGCUCAUCAUCGGUUUCAUUGCAGCGAAGUGAGCAGACAAAAGAAGGCGUUUUUUUUUCCGAAAGGUCGCUCUGGGCAAAAGUUCAGCCAAUUGCAAGGAAUAAACCACCGGAGUGACAGUAUCCGUGCUGUUUAGGACCUUUUUCCAUAUAUUGUAGCUUUUGAAUUUUAAUACCCGGUCGAAACGAUGGCAAGUGCUGCCGAUAACUGGGUCAAAAAGACGGAGGGAGGAUCAGGAAAUUUCUGCACUCGGUUAUCGAUCUGAGUAUCCCUAAGGAUAAGGAACCAGAGCCGGCGGCUGACAGCCCAAAGAAAGAGAAUGCGGAAAAACCUUCUAGUUCACCGCCAGUAGAACCAGCGAUCAAAUUACUCCCGUAGAAACGGCUGCACCUGCAGUUUUGUUUUCGGUAGCUACAGAAAUUAAGACUUUAGCAGCUCCUGAAGAAAAAAAAAGCUGCUAGCGAAAAUGGAGAAACAGCUUCCUCCACGGAAGAUGCAGAGGCAUUCAACCCGGCGGAUGCAAGUUUGCUAAUUAAACUUAUUCGCAAAGGUCUAGUAGAAUCAAAGCUGGAUCUGGGGGUGAAGGAUCCUUCUUCGCCGCGAUACUUGGUUAAAACUUUCGAAGCUUUGCACAUGAAUUCGGAACUGCUUCAGGGAGUCUAUGCUAUGGGUUUCAACGCUCCUUCCAAGAUUCAGAAGACGGCUCAACCUACUCUGUUGGCCGAUCCGCCACAGAACAUAAUCGCCCAGAGUUGGUCGGGAACAAGAAAAACCACUGCCUUCGUGCUGGCAAUGCUCAAUCGAGUCGAUCCGUUGAAAAACUAUCCGCAGGUGAUUUGCCUUUCCCCACGUAUGAACUGGCAAUUCAGAAGGGGAAAGUAGCUGCAAAACGGCAAAGUUUUGUGCGGAAAUCGAACUUGGUUAAACCGUUCGCGGUGAGAAGAUCGUCAAAGGGGCGAAGCUG